rnacentral:siRNA from 1 species
CCAUAGCUCAGUGGUAGAGC